UACGUAGGGUGCGAGCGUUAAUCGGAAUUACUGGGCGUAAAGCGUGCGCAGGCGGUUUGGUAAGACAGGCGUGAAAUCCCCGGGCUUAACCUGGGAACUGCGUUUGUGACUGCCAGGCUAGAGUACGGCAGAGGGGGGUGGAAUUCCACGUGUAGCAGUGAAAUGCGUAGAGAUGUGGAGGAACACCAAUGGCGAAGGCAGCCCCCUGGGUCGAUACUGACGCUCAUGCACGAAAGCGUGGGUAGCAAACAGG
rnacentral:rRNA from 2 species